ACAAGCGGAGGAACAUGUGGUUUAAUUCGAUGAUACGCGAGGAACCUUACCUGGGCUUAAAUGGGGAGUGACAGCUGUCGAAAGAUGGUUUUCUUCGGACACUCUUCAAGGUGCUGCAUGGUUGUCGUCAGCUCGUGCCGUGAGGUGUCGGGUUAAGUCCCAUAACAAGCGCAACCCUUACCGUUAGUUACCAUCAGGUUAAGCUGGGGACUCUAGCGGGACUGCACCGUAAGGUGAGAGGAAGGUGGGGAUGACGUCAAAUCAGCACGGCCCUUAUGUCCAGGGCUACACACGUGUUACAAUGGCCGGUACAAAGGGCAGCUACUUCGCGAGAAGAUGCUAAUCUCGAAAGCCGGUCUCAGUUCGGAUCGAAGUCCGCAACCCGACUUCGUGAAGCUGGAUUCGCUAGUAAUCGCGCAUCAGCCAUGGCGCGGUGAAUACGUUCCCGGGCCUU
rnacentral:rRNA from 1 species